rnacentral:lncRNA from 1 species
AUGUCCUGGUCAGUGUUUUCUGGCCCUCUGAUGCUGGGAUUGACCUCAUCUCUCUUCCCACCUACAGUGAGGACAUUUCAGCUCCUCAGGGUCUGGGAGGGAAGCAUUUCUGGUAUUAGGUACCCAGGUGACAACAAGAUAGAGUUCUGGCUGGUGGCUACAAGGAGUGUCCAAAGUAAUGUGUACAGGAGAGGUGCCCAGAGUUCCCAUGAUCUGAAGGUAGCAGACCAGCAUGGAACAGAUGUGACCAUAGGACAGCAGAAUCUGGAUGUGGAGCUGAUAGAAGAUCCUAAACUUGAGCAAGACUGGGCCAGAGAGGACAGCAUCCAAGCCAUGGUGUGGACAUAUCUGAAUGCUUUGUGAGAUUUUGGGUGUUCAUGUACAUUUCAUUCUUUUUUCAACCCUUGACAUGUAUCCUCUGAAUAUUAAUGAGAAGCUAAUACAUACCUUGUCUAUUAGUGAGCCAUCAGGAGAUUUGGUUUCUCUUUUUCAAAAUAACUCUUAACUCUCAACUUUUUCUUUUUGGUUGGGAGCAUGAACAGAAGCUUCCUACCUGAAGAGACAAUUUGUAUAUCUCUCACUGAGAGACUUGGAAAACACCCAAGUUUGAUCAUGGCAACAAGACAAGAUUUUGGGAAAGACAAUGACAAUAAUGACAUAAAGGAAUCCCUGUUGACACAGGUGACUGCUUUGUAACUUGCCUGAAGAUACUGUGUGUGGUCACUUACUUAAUAAGGAGCUGGGAGUAGAGAUUGUGUUUGUCAAGCUCAUGAAUUGAGAACAAAGCCUCAGAAUUUUUUGUUGUUGCCUUUGGUUUUGUUUUACUUUCUCUUUUGAAAUGAUUUCUGAUUUAUAGAGAAGUUAUAAGAAUAGUACGAAGAAUUCCACGGAUGAGCCAGAUUUCCCAAAUUAACACUUCACUGCAUUUGCUUUCUUGCUUUCCUUUCCCUCAUCUCAUCUCUGUAGCUCUAUGUCUUUCUAUCUGUCUCCAUCUCUCUCUAUCUCUCUAUCUAUACACAUACACAGGUCCAUGGCAAACAGUUCAUUUUACCAAGGUUGUUUAUUGACUGGGGGAGGUAGUAUGAUGAGGGACGGUAGACACUGAAGAAGACUGGAGGAAGUUAUGGGAGGGAAGGAUGCCCCUUGAAAUAUACUGCUUUGCCUCAUUAAUUACAAAUAUGUGUUCCUAUUGAGGGAAAUUACUUGAUUUAUUGUUUGCCAUGAAGUUUAAGAUUUCUCAGUUAAAGCAUGUUUGUUUUCAUUGGAAUGGGAAUACUGUGGCAGUUUUGGGAUUGAAGGCUGUUGAUUCUUUUGAAUAUAUCUAAAAGGGAGGAAUGUAGGGAUUUCAUUUUGGGUUUUACUUUAAUAAGCUCAAUCCUGUAGGUAUGCAUCCUUUUGGGCUUUUAUGAGAAGUUUACAGAUGCUCCUCUGAGAAGGAGGCUGAGCAUGUAAGGAGGUAAGGAAUGGAGAUAAUGUACAAUAUGCAGUGAUACCUCUUUUAUGACAGGCCAGUCUAGAUUAUACAACCAUAAAAAUAAAGACAAAGUUGAGAUAUGACAGUUUUCUGAAUACAUUUUUGUACUGAGUGUAAAGCUUAAUUACUUUUAGCUCGACACUUUAAGCCUUAACAAAGAGUACAUGGAAAACAUGAUUAUUAUGAUUUUAAACAUGAAAAAUCAUCUUUCUAAGUGUAUUUACUCUUCUGUGUGCUUUGG